CCUACGGGUGGCAGCAGUGAGGAAUAUUGGUCAAUGGACGAGAGUCUGAACCAGCCAAGUGGCGUGAAGGAUGACUGCCCUAUGGGUUGUAAACUUCUUUUAUAUGGGAAUAAAAUGUUCCACGUGUGGGAUUUUGUAUGUACCAUAUGAAUAAGGAUCGGCUAACUCCGUUCCAGCAGCCGCGGUAAUACGGAGGAUCCGAGCGUUAUCCGGAUUUAUUGGGUUUAAAGGGAGCGUAGGUGGAUUGUUAAGUCAGUUGUGAAAGUUUGCGGCUCAACCGUAAAAUUGCAGUUGAAACUGGCAGUCUUGAGUACAGUAGAGGUGGGCGGAAUUCGUGGUGUAGCGGUGAAAUGCUUAGAUAUCACGAAGAACUCCGAUUGCGAAGGCAGUUCACUGGACUGCAACUGACACUGAGGCUCGAAAGUGUGGGUAUCAAACAGGAUUAGAUACCCGAGUAGUC
rnacentral:rRNA from 1 species